ensembl:misc_RNA Y_RNA Y RNA
AGCUAGUCUAAGUGUAAUGGUUCUUACACCUAAUUGAUCACUAGUUACAGAUUCCCUUAUUCCUUCUCCAUUCCCACUGUUUCACUUGACUAGCCUUCC